rnacentral:lncRNA from 1 species
GUUUAGUGAUCAUUUCAGCACAAGCUCUGCGUUCAUGAAUUAUUACCAAAAAGUUGCAUGGCUGACUUCAUCACUAAACAAAACAUGGCUGAACCCUGUCAGAUGGAAAUGAGGUCAGCAGAAUGGGGCUGUAGUACUUCUAAUGGAGAUGAGGUCAGCAGAAUGGGGCUGUAGUACUUCUAAUGGAGAUGAGGUCAGCAGAAUGGGGCUGUAGUACUUCUAAUGGAGAUGAGGUCAGCGGAAUGGGGCUGUAGUACUUCUAAUGGAGAUGAGGUCAGCAGAAUGGGG